AUUGAACGCUGGCGGCAGGCUUAACACAUGCAAGUCGAGCGGGGAAGGGUAGCUUGCUACCUAACCUAGCGGCGGACGGGUGAGUAAUGCUUAGGAAUCUGCCAUUUAGUGGGGGACAACAUUCCGAAAGGAAUGCUAAUACCGCAUACGUCCUACGGGAGAAAGCAGGGGAUCUUCGGACCUUGCGCUAAAUGAUGAGCCUAAGUCGGAUUAGCUAGUUGGUGGGGUAAAGGCCUACCAAGGCGACGAUCUGUAGCGGGUCUGAGAGGAUGAUCCGCCACGCUGGGACUGAGACACGGCCCAGACUCCUACGGGAGGCAGCAGUGGGGAAUAUUGGACAAUGGGCGGAAGCCUGAUCCAGCCAUGCCGCGUGUGUGAAGAAGGCCUUAUGGUUGUAAAGCACUUUAAGCGAGGAGGAGGCUACUUAGAUUAAUACUCUAGGAUAAUGGACGUUACUCGCAGAAUAAGCACCGGCUAACUCUGUGCCAGCCGCCGCCGUAA
rnacentral:rRNA from 1 species